UUUCGAACAGCAUCCUUUUGAACAACAUUUUGCACCGACUCAUCAACAUCACAGUCCUCCUCAGACGAGGAUUCACUAAGAAGAAUCGGGCUGCUACAAUUUCCAUGGUUUAACUUCUUCUUUUUGGACUUAGGAAGUGAGCGUGGCCGAAGAAGAUAUGAUCGACCUUUGUUGUUCUUUUCACCCUUAACAGCAAGCUGAGGUACUAGCUCCUCACCAUUUGACUCCUUG
rnacentral:misc_RNA from 1 species